UAGUUACCCCUCCACACCGCCAGUAUUCAACAAACCUCCGUCGUAGCUACUUGCUCUACCACAGCCGUCAACACUCUCCUCAUCAACUUUCUGAACCAUGAGAGUGCUUGUCGUGGUGGCGCUCUGCCUCGUUGUUGUGAUGGUCGUCGUUAACGCCGGUGACUCAAGUGGCGACAAGCGCAAGAAAUCCAUUAAGAACGUGUCUUCAAGGCAGGGAGACAAGGUGAAGAAGUUCAAGACCCGAGAUGAAGGAAGACGACGAUCUCCUGGCGAGGUGAAGACACUCAACAGUCGUAUUGCUGAGAAAAGGUCGAAAAAACACAAAAAGCGCAAGUCCAGCAAGAAAACAGCUUCACAUCAGGGCAAAAAAAUUAAAAAGUCCCAUCAUACUCAAGGGAAGGAAGCUAUCAAGAAAAGAGUAUUAAAGAAGACUAAGAAGGGUUGUGCAGGAAGGUGCGUAGCGAACACGAGGUGUGGGAAAGAAAGUGUAAUAGAAGGCAAAUGCCAAGACGGGUUCCAGUGCUGCAUCUCCAAUAAGCGGAGGAGAAAGAGUGGCGCUAAGAAAGUCUCGUGCCUCCUGCUGCAGCACUGUAAUAAGUUAAGAGGACAGUGCCAGAAAAAGAAGAUUGGGUGCCAUGACGACCAGAUGAUGUACAAGAACUCAAAGACCAAGAAAUAUUGCAGUGGAAGCUGUGUCUGCUGUGUAUCAGCGCCGGAGACGUGUCCCAGCAACAGUAAAUGCAACAAGAAAAAGGGUGUCUGUGUCUCUGACCGUAACGACUGCAACGGUAUCGUGAAGAAGGGCAGGGAAUUGUGUGGUAGCAGUAGCUGUGUGUGCUGCAAAUCCAAAGGCUUUUCAUGCAAGACUAAGCAGCAGUGCCUGGUACUGAAGGGUGUAUGCCAACCAGCCAGCCAUACAUGCUCAGGGAACAUGUUACUGGGCUCGACUUACUGCAGUGAGAGUGACUGUGGAUGUUGCGUCACUAACAUUGGUGAGAUGAUAGUAAUAUUGCAAUUCUUCACAACCUCAUUAUUUUCAACAAUAACAAUGACAAAGAUGCAUUUUUCAUCAUACAGUCAUAACCUGCUUUAUGUCAUUACAGCUUAUGUCAAAUUUGCCUUUACAGUGGACCCCCGGUUAACGAUAUUUUUUCACUCCAGAAGUAUGUUCAGGUGCCAGUACUGACGGAAUUUGUUCCCAUAAGGAAUAUUGUGAAGUAGAUUAGUCCAUUUCAGACCCCCAAACAUACACGUACAAACGCACUUACAUAAUUACACUUACAUAAUUGGUCACAUUCGGAGGUAAUCGUUAUGCGGGGGUCUACUGUACUCCACUUUUCUAGAGUAAAUUUCAGUUCAGCGAACGUCCAAUGUUACGUUGGACAUAAUUGAUUAAACACAAAAAUUAACAAUAAAAGAUAAAAGAAGCUAAAAGAAAAUAAUUUAAAAUACAAUAGAAACACAUUAAAAACGUAAAAAAAAUUAUACAUAGUUCCGCCAUAUUGCUGCCUGGCAGCAUUGCUGCUGGUUCUCAUUCAAAACAAGGGCAAUGCCAUAUGCAUUUUUGCCCAUGCCACAAUCGUGUCCUUGUUUUGCCUUUCGCUGUUAUUUUUGUGAUUAUUCCUUUACUGUGUCUGUGUUAGUCAUGGAUCCUAAGAAGGACAGUGCUAGUGAUUCCAGGUGUAAUGUGGUUACCAUGGAAGGUAUGUUAAAUAUGAUUAGAAGGUAUGAAAAGAUGUGGGUGAUAGUGUGUGCCUUAGGGUUGCCAUAGGUGAUUUUUGUCAUACUUAAGGCAUUUUUAAGGGCAAAUCACAAGGUAAAUAAAAAUUUUUUGUGUUCAUUAUUCUUUGAAAAAUAUGACUAAAUGUGUUUUUAGUGUUCUUUAAGGUUUAGCAAUAGUUGGGUUUUUUGUAAGUUUUUUUUUUUUUUUUUUUUUUUUUUCUCAACAAGUCAACUGUGUUGUCAUUUUAAGGCAUUUUUAAAGCAUUAUGUCCGGUUUACGUCAAAAACCAGAUUACAUCAUGGCUCUUGGAACCAGUUAAUGAUGUAGGGUGGGGUAUGACUGUAUUGUUUAAGUACCACUUAAAGAUUUAUAGGUUAAUUUUAUUUUUAAAUUGUAGUUUAAGGACUUGUGUCAAUUUCUGUACUACAUGCCAUUAAUAAUGUUAAGGUUAAAAUUUUCUACAUAAUGUAAAGAGUUCAAAUGAUCCAUCCCAUUAAUUUUAAUAAUAAUAAUGACUAAAAAAAUACAGAAUUAUUUUAUAAAUAUAUUUCAGGUAAAAUUUUCCAGUUUUGUCUCUGAUGCCCAAAACUGAAAGAAAUAAUGAAGAUAAUCACAUUGCUUUUGUAUAUGUAUGUAUAAAUGCAUAUAGUGUUUAUGUACAAUAUAUUAUUCACAUGGUAGAUGUUAAUAGACAAAAUGUCAUAGUUUCAUGUCAUUUUCACUGAUCAUUUGAUCACCUUUGGCAGACUUAUUAACAGCAUUAAUAAAAUAUGUUGGAUAUUCCAUUAUUCAGUUGCUUUUAUUCUAGUUUCUAGAUAGAGUAUUAAUACCAUAAAUCAGUUACAAGCUAUACAACAUAAAUAUAGUCUCCAUUUACAAGUGUUUUAACAGAUUCUUUAAAGUACGUACUAUUGUUCACUGAGUAAGUUUUUUGUAGUAUUAAAUUAUCUUGUCUUUGUUUUUAUUCACUGUUGUCUUUUUAUUCAGUUACUAAAGUAUAUCAGAGGAAAUCAGCUCUGAAUUGCCUUUUGUUUCAAGGGCAUUUUUAAUGGACCCCCCUUUUGAGUAUUUUUCACAGGGUUCCUGGUGCCUCUGAAGCCCCCAGCACUUGAAUAUAGUAAAAAUGGCUCAGGCAGACUUGCCCAGUGUUGUUCAAAGCUUGGGCUACUCAUUUUCUAAUUUCAAAGCUGAACCACUGCCAUGGAUUAUCUCCCUGCCCUACCCAGUCAAUUUUGUUGCUCUAUUUCCUGAUCUCUUUUCUCCCUUUUGCCUAAUCCUGUUUUCAAAUUGUCUUUGUCAAUAUACAGUUCAGUACUAACAAAAAAAAAAAAUCAGUAUGCAGUAGAGUACUACUAAAUAAGUUCUCAUUUUGAGUUUAACCCUUCUCCCUUCCAUUUUCUCAAUAUCAUUUUUUGGUGAAAAAAAAUAGUCCCAACACUUUUGAGUGUGUGUGUGUGGUCUGCCUGGGCCUAUUUAAGAGACGUGUCGCCUGUAAUACUCAGCAGAGGAGGAGUCACUUGAGGUACUACCUAUGGAGCCAUGUCUCCUCUUUGCCAGACUUGCUGAGUCAAACCUGAGGAACGACUCGACCCCAGCAUGACCUCUGAAGCAGGCACAACCAACCCUGGAGCAGUAACAGCGUCCACAGCAGCUCACUACUACAAUGACGACACCACUUGACCUACAGCUGCUGGUCUGGCAACAUGCUUUUCCACAACAUGUAUUUCCCCCCAUACAACUACUCUCACUUUGAUCAACACCAUUAAGACUGCUACCACAAUAGGUAUUAAGCUACGUAUACUCUUUUUUCACUAUCUGUCCCUGUCCUGUUCAUUAUUAUUAUUAUUUUUUUUUUUUUUCAACAAGUCGGCCGUCUCCCACCGAGGCAGCAACCACCCAGGGAGGUACUACCGUCCUGCCAAGUGAAUGUAAAACAAAAGCCUGUAAUUGUUUUACAUGAUGGUAGGAUUGCUGGUGUUUUUUUGUCUGUCUCAUAAAUAUGCAAGAUUACAGGUAUGUCUUGCUACUUCUACUUACGCUUAGGUCACACUACACAUACAUGUACACAUUUAUUUAUACACACUCAUCUGAGUUUUUCUUUGAUUUUAUCUUAAUAGUUCUUGGUCUUGUUACUUUUCCUUUUAUAUCCAUGGGGAAGUGGAAUAAGAAUCUUUCCUCCGUAAGCCAUGCGUGUUGUAAAAGUCAACUAAAAUGCCGGGAACAAUGGGCUAGUAACCCCUUUUCCUGUAAAGAUUACUAAAAAGAAUAAGAAGAUAUUAUUAUUAUAUUCACAAAAAAAGCAUGUGGGCCAUUCAGUACUGUCUCCAUCUAUUGUAUAUACUCAAAUAUAGGUUGAGGUUCUUAGUUGUUUUUAUAACUAGGUGGUCAAUUUAUUCAUGAGUAAUAGUAUUUCUGAAGAGUUAAAAUCUAUAAACUUAAUUCCUACACUGGAGAGAAAGAUUAUAGAAUAGUAAUGCAGGUUUACUGGCAUUGCUAGGCAGGUCUUCCUCACAGCCACAUGUUCCACUUGGCUAUAAAUAUUGCUAAACUAGUACAUAUUUUAAUUCUUUUAUGAAAGCAUAGAAACAUUAAUAGAAAAGCACUUCGGUAGGCCCAUAAUAGGCAAGUCAAACUCAUGCCCAACCAUUCCCACUUGUGUAAAUGUAUUGUUUGUUAAUAUUUUUGGGUGUCUGGAAUGGUUUAAUUGGAUUUACAUUAUUUCCUAUGGGAAAUAUUAACAAAACAUACAUUUUAUAGAUAAUAAAAGUAGUUUUGCAUACAGAAAAGGCACUACUAAAUUCGAGGGUCCACUGUAUUUGUCCAGCAUUUGCAUUUGUUCCACUCAUCUACAACUUUAUUGCCAAACCAUUCAGCUCUUUAUUUGCAGUAAAAUCCUACAUGUCAAGCUGUUAACAUAUAACAGUUAAAAAUGCUGAAAUGGCUAGUUAUUACCUUUCUGUACAUUUUUUUAAUGCCAGCCAUCUCUCACUGAGGUAGGGUGAUCCAGAAAAGACAAAACAUAUUCACUGUCAUUCAACUGCUGUCUUGCCAGAGGCAAGAAACUAAACUUCUGAAUUUCCUUCUUUUUCAUUUUAGUAAUUUAUAUGUCUCUCUUUCUCCCUGCAUUUUAGUUGCCUUUUUUGAUGUGCACUGCUUACAGAGGAAGAAUCCUACUCCACUUUCCCUCUUUGUUAAUUCUUUGAUCUGCCUACCCUCUUCUCAGAAAGUCAAACAUUCAAAACAGUCUUGUUAUUCUUAACUGAAACUCACUUAUAAACUAUUUGAAAUGCACUAAUAGUGUGUGUAUACUGAAAGUAAAUAGAAGUUUAUGAGAGAUUUACCUGCCAUCCUAUGCAACAGAAAAGACCAGUAGUCCUGCCAGAAUGCAGGAUAUUUAGUAGUCUUGUGUGCUACAUAUUUAUACCAUUCUUCAGUAUACUAUUAUAAACAUCCUGUAUUCCCAGUGGUCAACCAGCUUUUCAUGUAGGAUUGUGAUCUUUAAUGAUAUAAUGGGCCAUGCUGACUAGGGUUCUCAUGCCAAGGGUAUUUUUGCCAGGAAGACAGAGUAUAGCUUCCACAUUUCUCAAGCAUAGAUCCAUACACUAUAUUCCCUAUUUAACCUUGCUUGGAAGUUGAACCCACCCCUUGAGCUGCAUCCUAUUGAUUUUAAAACAUUUUGGUGACAAGAUAGAAAAAAUGCAGGGUCCUGUGAUUACCUCAUUGAUUCAGACACAUUUUGGCCCUUGAUUCUCUAAUGACUACUCUCGUAUGUCGCUCCAUAACCUCUUGGGCCAUUUUUGGGCUUGAUAAUGGAUGAUGGGAUAGAAGGGUAAACUUUAACAUUUUUAUAUGUGUAUUUGCUCAAUGACUUGGGGAUUAAUGCUUAUUUGUACAUCUUUCUUCUUUCAACACACCGGCCAUAUCCCACCAAGGCAGGGUGGCCCAAAAAGAAAAACGAAAGUUUCUUUUAAAUUUACUAAUUUAUACGGCAGAAGGGGUUACUAGCCCCUUGCUCCCGGCAUUUUAGUCGCCUCUUACAACACGCAUAGCUUACGAAGGAAGAAUUCUGUUCCACUUCCCCAUGGAGUUAGUUGUACAUGUGGAUAUAAUAAUAAUAAUUUAUGCAUUCUUGUCCUACUACUUGGGCUCGCAAGGUGGCUGACUAGGUUUACAAGUUGCGUAUUUCCAGAAGAUCUAAAGAAGCUAACCCCUAUUUCUUAUUACCUGAAAUUUUCCCCUCCCCCAUCACCUUGCAAUCCAACUGGCAUACAUAGCUUUUUUUUUAUUUAAUUGCCCAGCCUCCCUUUUCCCCUCAAAAUAAAAAUUCAUGGAUACUAUGUAGUUCUUAAAUCAUUUAAAAUAAGACACAAUUUGUAGGGAGGAACUUGAUCGAGAUAUUUUGCCUGUAUAAUAGGCGUCUUCAGAUGAUACACAGAUGAACAGCAAUAUAUUUAUACAGGAACAGCAGGUGAGUGGCUGGGCAGUGAGGUCAUGGCCUGGGUGGAGUGUGAGAUAGGGGCACUGCAGGACUACCAGUCCUUGUGGGCAUUGUAGCACUGUUUAUAUAAAAGAAGUUGGGCUAAAGGUUGACUUAACUGAAAUCUUCUUGAUUUUUUUGUAUAAUAUUCUGUGUAUGCAUCAAAGCAAGGUCUAGGCAUCUGCAUUGUGUUUUGUCUCUUUGAUGAGCAGCCAGUCAUUUCAGGAAAUCAGAUAUGCAAUCUUGUACCCAUGUGAUGCAGAGAUAUGCAAUCUUGUACCCAUGUGAUGCAGAGAUAUGCAAUCUUGUACCCAUGUGAUGCAGAGAUAUGCAAUCUUGUACUCAUGUGAUGCAGAGAUAUGCAAUCUUGUACCCAUGUGAUGCAGAGAUAUGCAAUCUUGUACCCAUGUGAUGCAGAGAUAUGCAAUCUUGUACCCAUGUGAUGCAGAUAUGCAAUCUUGUACCCAUGUGAUGCAGAGAUAUGCAAUCUUGUACCCAUGUGAUGCAGAUAUACAAUCUUGUACCCAUGUGAUGCAGAGAUAUACAAUCUUGUACCCAUGUGAUGCAGAGAUAUGCAAUCUUGUACCCAUGUGAUGCAGGAAUUUAGAUUCUGCAUGCUUAGUUAAGUUCCUGCAGUCUAGUCUUUUGACUGUGAGAGGUCUCCCACAUAUUUCUGAUCACAGCCACUGCACAGAAAAGGUAGACACCUUUGUUAUCAAGGUCCAGAUGGUUGUUUUUAACCCUGGUCAGGUGUUUGACAUGAUGGUCACAACAACUAUGUUGAUUCUGGAGAGAGUGUGAUAUAUCUUGUGGUGUGACCAGUAAGAAGGAUGAGUGUUUUAUGUUCUUUCCUUCUGGCACAGAUUUUGUGUGCUUCAUCCCUGCAGUUAUAAAAGACGUGUGGAAACUUAAGUAUCAGGAUGUCUUGCAGAAUGUUUUGCUUUUCUCUGAGGCAUUCUGGGCUACAUGUCAUUUAGAAACAUAAAAACAUACCAAUAAAUGUACUGUGUUUGAUUCUUUGGUUUUAGUGUGAGUAGUAAUGUAUUGUGUCAUUCUUGUUGGUUGGUUUCUGGUACAAUUUCAAAAUUAAAGUGGCUGUUCUCUGGUGAGAAGUGUCGAGGAAAGGUGGAUUGGAUGGCUCUCCACUGUUAAAGCUGCAUUUUGAGGUCCAAUUCGUUUGGGAGCAGAAUAUUAUCCACAUAGCAGAGCUAUUUGACAGUUUUGAGUGGUGGUAAAUCUUUUGGCCUUUGGUGAUUCCAUAUGUAAAUUUGCAACUCAGCAUUGAUCAGCGAGUCCAUAGCUGUGCAGAAUUUUUAUCUGUAAAAGAAAUAGCCGAGAAAAACCUAGUUCACAGCUCAGUUUCAUGAAACCUUGGCCAAGUACAGGCAGGUCCAUGUCCAACCUUUGUGGUGUAGUAAGUAUAAUGGUUUGGUCAGUAGUGAUUGGCAAAGAGAAGUCACAUUUAGACUAGCUAACUUCUUUCUGUUGAUAUCCUUUUUCUUGUUGAGUGAAUCUGCAGUGAUGGUGUGAGUUGACAACAGAACUGAGUAGUUUGGUCAUAUAUUUAGCCAAAGUGCUAACGGCUGUGUAAGGUGCACUGACUGCAACAUUCUAAGGGCCUCACAGGACCUCCAAACUACUUGGUUCUAUCAGAAGCUCACAUCUUUGCCACACUAGGGAUUUACUGAAUAAGAUAGAGGCCAUCAACAUCAGGAACAAAUGGAUAGCCUUGACAUGAUUUCUCUCUCUCUACCAGUCCCCACCAACCAACCCAUUUACUACAUUGGAAACUAAGGUCGUACACGGACCUACUUUAACCUUAUCAAAACUUUGUGAAGCUGAGCUCUGUAUGAACUUUGUUUUUCAUUUGGUAAUUCCUUUUAUAGACAAAAAUUCUGCCUGGCCAUAUGCUCAUUGAUCAGUACUGUAUUGGCAAAUCUAUAUAUAGAAUCACUGGAGGACAAGAGAUUUGCUAAUAUCAUUCCAAAAAUGUCACAUGUCCUAGUUAUAUGCAUUAUCUUCUGUUCAUUACUCAAAAAAAAAAAAAAAAAAAAAAAAAAAAAAAAAAAAAGGGACAGCCUCAAAACAGCCUUAACAGUGCAAGACCAUCAGAUUCACCCUAGAAAAGAAAGCUGAUGACAUCCUUCCUGUCCUCCUAUGUACUUCUCAUCAAAAGAGGACAGCCACCUUAAUUCCAAAGCAUACAGGAAGCCAUUCAACAUGAAAUGGUAUGAUACAUUACUACUAACACUAUGACACUGGCAU